AUUAAUGUAAUGCAGUAAUAACAAAGAAUUUUACUUAAACUAAGUUUGACACAAAGAUACUUCUGGAAAAACAAAACCUGCAUCCACAGUUUCCUUUAUGGGGUUAAUUUAAUGUGAAUGUGUAUCUCGCUUUGUACCAUUGUGGGUUAAGGUUUUGCAGAGGCUGGGAGAAUGUGCUGAUUUAUGUUAAUAGGAGAAAAUAUUAAAUCUGCUUCAUAAUGAAAUAUUAAAGCUGCUACAAACACAAUUACACCAAACAAAACACCUG